ACAGGAGCCGAAGCGAAAGCGAGUCUGAAAUGGGCGAUUAGUCAGUGGCUGUAGACGCGAAACUUGGUGAUCUACCCUUGGUCAGGUUGAAGCGCUGGUAACACAUCGUGGAGGACCGAACCGGUAAACGUUGAAAAGUUUUCGGAUGAACUGAGGGUAGGGGUGAAAGGCCAAUCAAACUGAGAAAUAGCUCGUACUCCCCGAAAUGUUUUUAGGAACAGCGUCGUGGUUGAGUCAUGGUCAGGUAGAGCUACUGAUAGGACUAGGGGGAGUCAAAUCCUACCAAAUUCUGACAAACUCCGAAUGGGCUAUGAUAUACACGGCAGUGAGGGCUGGGGUGCUAAGGUCCCAGUCCGAGAGGGGAACAACCCAGAGCAUCAGCUAAGGUCCCAAAAUAUAUGCUAAGUUGAACUAAGGGGGUCCGACUGCAGAGACAGCCAGGAUGUUAGCUUGGAAGCAGCUAUACAUUUAAAGAGUGCGUAACAGCUCACUGGUCGAGCGGGGCGGGCAUCGAUAAUAAACGGGCAUCAAGCAUAUUACCGAAGCUAUGCGAUAGUAAUUUAUUACGAUCGGUAGGGGAGCAUUCUCACAGGGGUGAAGGUUUGGCGUAAGCUGGGCUGGACUGGUGAGAAAAGCAAAUGUAGGCAUAAGUAACGAUAAUGCGGAUGAGAAAUCCGCACACCGAAAGACUAAGGAUUCCUCCGCUAUGCUAAUCAACGGAGGGUUAGGCGGGGCCUAAGGGAUAGCCGACAGGCGACUCUCGAUGGACAGCAGGUUAAUAUUCCUGCCCUUGCAUGCAGUGUGAAAAAGUGACGGAGUAUUGUGGUAAGUACGUACUGACGGAAUAGUGCGUUGAGCAGAACCUACGGGUGAAGCGAACUUACGAAAACGCUUCCAAGAAAAGCUUUUGAAACGCCAGCUGUACGCAACCCGUACCGUAAACCGACACAGGUAGUCGAGAAGAAUAUUCUAAGGUGCUCGAGUGAAUCACGGCUAAGGAACUCGGCAAAUUAACCCUGUAACUUCGGGAGAAGGGGAGCCUCCUCUGGCGACAGAGAGGCCGCAGAGAAAUGGCCCAGGCGACUGUUUAGCAAAAACACAGGGCUCUGCCAAAACGAAAGUUGACGUAUAGGGCCUGACACCUGCCCGGUGCUGGAAGGUUAAGAGGGGAUGUCAUCGCAAGAGAAGCAUUGAAUCGAAGCCCCAGUAAACGGCGGCCGUAACUAUAACGGUCCUAAGGUAGCGAAAUUCCUUGUCGGGUAAGUUCCGACCUGCACGAAUGGUGUAACGAUCUGGGCACUGUCUCGGCCGUGAGCUCGGUGAAAUUGUAGUAGCGGUGAAGAUGCCGCUUACCCGCCACGGGACGGAAAGACCCCGUGCACCUUUACUAUAGCUUUGCAUUGUUUUCGGGUCAGGGAUGUGUAGGAUAGGUGGGAGGCUGUGA
rnacentral:rRNA from 1 species